AUAAUGACUUAAUUUAGAAUUAGAACCAAGUGAUCAAAAUGAGGCUUUGACUUCUUAGGUCGUAAGUAGGAGCUUUUAGAGUCCCAAGAUCCAUAAUUAUUUAUUUCCUUUAUUUAAGUAGCUAAUCAACAUCAUCUUCCUUAUCAUCAUGUUUAAAGAGAACUGCACAUAUAAGCUGAACACAAACUCCAACAAAUAAUCUUCUAACUGUCUUUUUACAGUUUCUUCGCUCAAUUUUAGAAUCCAGGCAGAAUUCAA
rnacentral:lncRNA from 1 species